rnacentral:rRNA from 1 species
GACGGACGCUGGCGGCGUGCUUAACACAUGCAAGUCGAACGGAAAGGCCCUGCUUUUGUGGGGUGCUCGAGUGGCGAACGGGUGAGUAACACGUGAGUAACCUGCCCUUGACUUUGGGAUAACUUCAGGAAACUGGGGCUAAUACCGGAUAGGAGCUUCUGCUGCCUGGUGGGGGUUGGAAAGCUUCGGCGGUUGGGGAUGGACUCGCGGCUUAUCAGCUUGUUGGUGGGGUAGUGGCUUACCAAGGCUUUGACGGGUAGCCGGCCUGAGAGGGUGACCGGCCACAUUGGGACUACGAUACGGCACAGACUCCUACGGGAGGCAGCAGUGGGGAAUAUUGCACAAUGGGCGGAAGCCUGAUGCAGCAACGCCGCGAGCGGGAAAACGGCCUUCGGGUUGUAAACCGCAUUCGCCUGUGACGAAGCGUGAGUGACGGUAAUGGGUAAAGAAGCACCGGCUAACUACGUG